AGGGAGGCUUUGGUCCUGGAGGACCUGGAGGCCUGGCUGCGCCUGUUUGCACACCGGAGGACCGGCAGCCGCCCAACGCAGAGAACCGACCAGGUGGAGGGCAGGGUGACGAGCUGACGUCACCUCUUACCCCAGGCUCCGCGGGGACAGCUGCCGCCUCCAGAGCCUGCCGGGGAGGGGCGGCCUGGCUCCGGGGCCCGACAACCAGGGACCCCAGUGAUGGAGAAGAGGAGGGCCCGCCCGUGCUCAGAGCCUCCGCCAGGCUCCCGGGGGAGCUCAGAGCCCCGGCCGCGCCCGGGGGAGCCCAGGGCUCUGGGGGCAGAGGCGGAGGGCUGCGAGGACCUGCUCCGAGACUGCGGAGGUGGCCGGGCUGCCCGACGGGCCCUCUGCAGGGCCCUGAGCCUGGAAUCCUGCACAGCGGCUGUCGUUUUACUCCCAGAAUCUAGCAAAAUGCUUAGAGAACGUCUGGCGAACGAGCGGCAUCCCCGUGUGGAUGGACACGUGUGUGGCUGUGCGGAUUCAGAGGGAGUGAGGGCCUCGGCUGUGGCCAGAACAGCCCUGCUCUGAGCUACCCCCAUUCCAACGCCACCGAGCAGGGGAAAGGCUCGAGAGGCCUAAGUGGCUCCCCCAAACAGCGGGGGGCGGGGCCGGAGGCGGUGGCUGCCCAGACUACAGAAGAGGAGCUGCAGGCGCAGAGCGCUUCCAAGUUCGUGGAGUUGUCUGCACCCACGGGACCAGACUCUGAGCCCAGAACGUUUACUAGAGACCAUUUCAGAGGAGGCAACGAGGCCAGAGAGACCACACGCAGGUUCAUGGCAGAGGGGGAGCAGAGCCCCGGUCCUCUGACCCCAGACCAGUGCUCCUUACCAUUGACUCACCUGAAAGCAGGGCCUUCCGGGCUGCAGAGCCCUGCCUCAAAUUUCUACCUGGAAGGGGUCUGACUUGCUAGAAGGUGAUUUUAUUCUGGGGUCCUUCAGGAGAUUGUUGGAGACCCCAGAGGUUAAGUGAACUACACUGUGACGGGCUCACCUAUCUGGUGAUAAGCUGGUGGCCAGUGAGGGACCAAACCAGCCUUAGCCUCUAUUCCUCCAUCUAUCACUCAUCUGUCCAUCCAUCCAUCAUCCAUCCACCCCUCCGUCCACCCAUCCAUGUAUCCCUCCAUCCUACCAUCCAUCCAUCUAUCAUCCAUCCAUCCAUCCCUCCAUCCACUC